GGCCUUCGGGUUGUAAACCUCUUUCGCCCGGGACGAAGAGGACGGGACGGGACCUGCAGAGGA
rnacentral:rRNA from 1 species